UACGUAAGGUCCGAGCGUUGUCCGGAAUCAUUGGGCGUAAAGGGUGCGUAGGUGGUCUUUCAAGUCGGUGGUUAAAGGCUACGGCUCAACCGUAUUAAGCCGCCGAAACUGGAAGACUUGAGUGCAGGAGAGGAAAGUGGAAUUCCUAGUGUAGCGGUGAAAUGCGCAGAUAUUAGGAGGAAUACCGGUGGCGAAGGCGACUUUCUGGCCAUUAUCUGACGCUGAGGUACGAAAGCGUGGGUAGCAAACAGG
rnacentral:rRNA from 1 species